rnacentral:siRNA from 1 species
GAGGCGACGGUUCUUUCGCUU